UACGUAGGGACUAGCGUUGUCCGGAAUCAUUGGGCGUAAAGCGCGCGUAGGCGGCCCGGUAAGUCCGCUGUGAAAGUCAAAGGCUCAACCUUUGAAUGUCAGCGGAUACUGCCGGGCUAGAGUCCGGAAGAGGCGAGUGGAAUUCCAGGUGUAGCGGUGAAAUGCGUAGAUAUCGUGGAGGAACACCGGUGGCGAAGGCGGCAUCCUGGACCGACACUGACGCUGAGGAGCGAAAGCCAGGGGAGCAAACGGGG
rnacentral:rRNA from 1 species